GACGAAGAGGAGGACAGGAGGAAGAAGAGAGGCUCGGAGGGUGGGAAUGGGGUCCAGGGUUAUCUCCAAGGAGAAAACAUUCUUGGGAGCUGACAACGCUGAUGUCUCGAGCAGAAAAACAAUUCUCUGCAACACCCCUGCUGCAUUCCUUCAGUCCAGCAGAGGGUAUAGAAGUAAACGUCCAAGGGCACGGGGGUGACAGGGAGAGGGAGAGAAAAGGAGAGGGGAUGGUUGGUGUUUCCCCAGAGCGGGGAUUCUCAAGCACCAGGGAUCUGACCCCUCCGAGGACACGUGGCAACGUCCGGAGGCAAUUUUUGGCUGUCACAACUGUGGUGUGAGCGGGGAGGAAGAGUUCCCGCUACUGGCGUGUGGUCACCGAGAUCCGUCCUUUGCAAACGCCCCAGAAGAGCUCGCUUCGGAGGUGGAACCAAUGGAAGAGUGACAGAGGCCCAGCAACACGGCGGGAUUGGCGCGCGGACGCGAGCACGUGACGGGCUGAGCUCACAAAGGGCCUGGGGUGUUGGGCUGCUGGGGGCGGGGUGGGCGGUGCUGGUGGGACUGGUGCCCGUCUGUCUGCCUGCCUUUCCUCCUUCCCCAAAGGAUUUGGUUCCCCUGAAGGUCAUAACCAUGUUUGGGACUUAACUCAGCAUCAUGAGAAAAUCCAAGAGCACAGCGAUCAGCAAACAUUUCCCCCAAGAGAGAGGAUGAGAUCAAGGGCUGGCUGGGAACCGUUUGCCUUGCUUUGUCAUUGUCAUGUCAUAGGUAACCAUAAAAGGUCAUGAUCUCACCGUUCCAGGAGUUUCGAGCCCUGCGUUGGGCUCUUCACUGGC